UUCCUGGUGGUUCAGUGGUUGGGACUUUGCACUCUCACUGCUGAGGGCCCAGGUUCGAUCCCUGGUCAGGGAA
rfam:TPA: Bos taurus chromosome 3, whole genome shotgun sequence.